rnacentral:rRNA from 1 species
AUGGCGGCGACUCGUCGGAUCUACCUCGGCGUUCUACUGCUCCUGGCCGUGGCGGCAUCGACGACGUCGGGAGCGGCGGCGUUUGGCCUACCGCGGGGCCUGAGGCCCGGGCACUGCGCCUCCGUGUUCCGGACGUAUGACACGGUCUCUCCGUUCAUGACGGGCAACACGACGGCUAUCCACCUCGGCAACACCAAGUCCUGCGUCGCGGGUUACGGGGGCCACCUGGAUCCGCACACCGCGUACCAGUUCUGCAUCCCCUCCUGGGUCGCCUUCACAGACAACGGUACCCUCGUCGGAGAGGCCGCCAUGAACCACGCGGCCGUCAGGCCCGGGACGGCCGUCUCCGGCUUCAAGCGCCUCCUCGGCAUCAGGAUGUACAACGAGAUGGUAAAGAAAGAGGCCGAGCUAGUGCCAUACCACUUCACCGAGCAGCUCGGAAGAUGCGGCAUCGAGAUCGAGAUUGAGGAAGGCAACGUGAAGAGAUUCCUCCCCGAAGAUGUCGCCAGCAUCCUUGUAGCCGAGCUGAAGCGAAUGGCGGAAGCGCAUCUGGGCCGCAAGAUCAGGUACGCCGUGGUCACUGUCCCCGGGCACUUCAACGGCGUUCAACGGAGUUCGCUCGUCAUGGAAGCUGCCCAGUGGCGUGGUGGCUUCCGUACUGCCAAGCUUGUCGACGAGCAGGUCGCGGCGGCGGCUGCGUACCGCCUUCAUGAGAAGAGGGGCGACCGCAAGGUCAUCCUCGUCUUCCAUCUCGGUGGCCGCACCUGCCACGCCGCCAAGUUCAGGUUCAAGGAUGGCUCGGGCCAUCUCCUGGACGAACGCCAUGAUCCCUACCUAGGCGGUGAGGACUUCACUGGCAGGGUUGUGGACUAUUUCGUGGAGCUGAUCAAGGAGAAGCAUCACCGGGACAUCCGUGGGGAUGAGGGCGCUCUCAGGAAGCUGAGGGCAGAUUGUGAGAGGGCCAAGAAGCUACUGAGCGACCGAGAGGGCGUUCUUAUGAACAUCGGAUUGGUUCUUGAAAAAGGAGCAGAUAUCUACGAGGAGCUCACACGAGCCAAGUUCGAGGAGCUGAACCAUGACCUCAUGGAGAGAGCAAUGGAAAUAGUGGAGACGGUGGUGAUGGGAGGUGCUCCCACUUCCCAAAUGCAGAGCCGCAAGGAAGCCAUCGACGAGGUCAUUCUCAUCGGUGGUAGUGGGAGGAUCCCCAUGGUUGGGCGGCUCCUCGAGGAUUACUUCAAUGGUAGGGGCUAA